ACUAACUGCUGUACCAAGUUUGUCCUCCUGUUCUCACCGUAGCUCCUCUCCUAUCGGUCACGCCCUCCAGUUAGCUUGCAGGUGGCUAUGUACUCAUUAGCGUCAAUGGCACUUUCUAUAAGACCGGCACUGGAGGUGGGCUAGUAAGUGAUCCCUAGGCUCCGUACGUCCUCCCUACACUGUGUUCGCUGUGCUGUCACCUAUGAAAGGUAUUUGGCUGUGUACCAGACGCUUCCGGGUAGUGUUUUGUUGAUCUUCCGAAGGUAUUUACAAGCACUCUAAACCGUAGAUGAUUGAACUGUAUGGUCGGUCCUUUUGUAAAUGCCUUUACGCACAUUCACAGCAUUGUCUUUAACGUAGGUCUUGACUGAAAAGACUCCGUGUACGCGCAGGUUGCACUGUCUAUUGGGAGAUGCGUUAAGGUUUGCGUACUGGAGAGAUACCAGGGAGUCCCAUUUCCAUUCAUGUUGAGUGGUGUAUUCCUAGAGGUAAAAGGAAACCUUGUUGUAUUGUAUCUGUAUUGGUUUAGGCUGUAUUUACCAUAAACAAUGGAUUUUAACUGUGUUUGUUUACUCCUUUAGAAAGAUUGCCACUGCUGCUUUGCCUCCUGUAGAUUUAAGUAAUUGUAGCUCUUGCCUCAUUUUGUUUUCUUUAUUUUGUUUUGUUUGUCCGAUUGAUUUGGCCUAAACAUAGGCGUGGCUGGUUUCAUUUAUCUGCCCUCCGUCGUGGUGUGUCGGCAACAGGUGUGGUAUUGGCUGCCCCAGUAUUUUGCUGUGGUAAUGUGUGAUGGUAGUAAUGCUAACAUCUAGCUUUCUUGACCCAGCCAGUUAUUGCCAAUAGCAACCAUAUCUUCCCUUCUCCCCUCCAGAGAAACCGAGUGUUGCAGCUGUUCCGCGGGGCAGGUCGCCGGAUCUGAGUCCUCCUCUUCGUGUACUUCACACAGUAUUUGUAGUGGUAACGUGCACCUCACUAUUUGCAGUGAUCACUCUUUGUAGUACCUGUGCCUAUGCGAGCGCGUGUGUGUGUGUGUGUGUGUGUGUCUGUGGAUAGGCAACAGAAUCCGCAGCACGGGUGGUGUGUCGGUCUCACUCCUCUUCCAGGACAGGUAACCUCUCCCGAACAGCUGAUCAAAUUAACCCUACUUGAUUACAUGUAAUAUUCCUGGUGGCAGCCACUACCUUCCUCUUGCUGGCCUAUUGGGCCUAAUAUGUACUGCACUCCAUCCUGAGAAUCAAACCCAAGAUUGACUUUUUACUGAAUUGCUUGUGAAUAAAUAUUGUUUAUUUUUUCAUUGAAA